UACGUAGGUCCCGAGCGUUGUCCGGAUUUAUUGGGCGUAAAGCGAGCGCAGGUGGUUUAUUAAGUCUGGCGUAAAAGGCAGUGGCUCAACCAUUGUAUGCAUUGGGAACUGGUAGACUUGAGUGCAGGAGAGGAGAGUGGAAUUCCAUGUGUAGCGGUGAAAUGCGUAGAUAUAUGGAGGAACACCGGUGGCGAAAGCGGCUCUCUGGUCUGUAACUGACGCUGAGGUUCGAAAGCGUGGGUAGCAAACAGG
rnacentral:rRNA from 1 species